rnacentral:lncRNA from 1 species
CAAACAAACAAAAAUCCUGUUAGAAAAAGCAGGGUAUUUCCUCUAGUAAUAAGGGGCGGAGGGGAGUUAAGUAAAGUAUUUUAAAACUUAUAUACGAGGUACCAAUUCACGUUUUGAAAUAUUGUCAGGUUUCUCUCCUCUCUUCAAGAAUAACUCUUUCUGGUCCAUUUUUCACUCAGUGAAAGGUUCUAGAGAGCCGACUAUGCCCUGUAGCAGUCUACUCUAUGCAUGGACAAAAACAGACGUGGGCUGCUGGCUAUUUUACACUGGGUUCCUUCAGUAUUGCAAUUUCUUCUGCUCUAAUUAUCAGCCUUUACCCUAGAAUCUCUAACAGGGUCAGAGGAACCCCCAGCCCCCAAGGCGAGGCAGAAUAAUACAGUAACCAAAGCACAGACCUGGAAAAAAGUUCAUGUCUGUGUUACUCUACAUGAUGACCUCACAGGGAA